rnacentral:lncRNA from 1 species
GGGGAGCAGGGUUUUACACUGUCCCUCUACCAUAUAAGCCGCCGCAACAGUCCUCCCUGUUUGCUGCAAAAGUAGAUGAAGAAUUUCAGAAAGAAAAGUAGAAAACAAAUUGGAAGAAGAAGAUUUGGAAGCUUACAUUAUGUCGGCGCCUAAAAUUAAACCUUUUAGAAAUGUUAUGUAAAUUAGAGUUUUGAUCUAAAUAAGGUUUGCAGUUGGUGCCAUUUUUUUCCACUAGACUUGACUCGGAGUGAUGGGAUGAAGAUCUUGAAGAUACCGAAUCCCAUGAGUCCCGAUUCCGCCAAUGUAUGAGGAGAGGACUGAGAAGCAGAAAUCGGGGUUUCAUUUUUGCUCCAUACCCUCCAUUUCCAUUUUUUGAUUACUUGAUUGUGGACUUAUGGUAAGGGUCCAUCGAGAGAGAAGCAGCGUGGAAUGCAACAUGGUACAAUUAAUUUUGUAAGUUUUAUCAUAUUUCAGUUUCUUUGAUUUCUUCAGAUUUCUUUUAAUUUAUUUAGGGAAAUUAGUUAGGGUUUGUUCUCUAAAACCAGAUACAUGCAUUGUUUACUGGUUGGUUCAUACACUGUCUUGAGAAACUAAGAAAUUUCUUAUUACACACUGAUAUAAUAUAACAAUUUAAUAGUCAUUAAUUAUUACACACAUUAAUGCACCAGACAAACUAUCUUACGAAAACACACACAUUUUAAGUAACCAAAUGUUCUAAAAGCAUAUAAAAAACUAAAAAAAUAACAUCAAUUAUCAAACCACUUCUGAAGAAAAUCACAUACGAAUUCAUUUGAACAAUCACAUCUCUUGGUAUUAGAAAUUAGGAUACUGAUGAAGUCAAGGGCCAGUAGGUGGUUCAGGGGAUUGUGAUUUCUUUGGUGGAGGUAACUGUGGUGAUGAGGGACUGUUGAUUGAACUAGGUUUAUCAUCUGUUUGUGUUUUGGUUGGUGUAGGUUUUGAAUAGUUUUGAGCCAGUGGGGUUUCUUCUGGGCUUUUAGUUUCUGACCUUUCCAGUUCAUCUAAGGGUCUAGGAUAAUUUUCUUGGGAAAGAAGUGCAACUUCAGAUGUUUUAAAAAUGUUUUGUCUAACUAUUUGUUCGGUAGAUGUUUGUGCAGGUUUGGUAUCUCGAGAAUUGUUAGAUGGAUUUGAUUUCAAAGAAGGUGUUCUUGAUGAGGAAUCAAUUGGAAGCUUGAAGGGUUGAUUGACUUCAUUUUGUGGAGUGGGUAAAGUAGGUUUUGUAGAAGAUGAAGUGUCUUUUGGUAGAAAAGGUUUUGUAGAAGAUGAAGUGUCUUUUGGCAGAGAAGAUUUUGUGAAAGAUGAAGUGCCUGUGAGGUUUUGUGGGUGUACAGAAGAUUUUUUUUGUGUUUCCGUCAGAGAGGUUACUUCUUCAAUGGAUUGGGGAACUCCUUGUGUAUUAGUUGGAGGUUUGUUUUGACUUAAUUCUUUUUCUGCAAAUGUUUGUAUUUGCUUAGGAGAUUCUAGGUUGGGAAAGGGUAACACAGGUGAAUUUACAAUAAGUGAGUUUAUUGUUUCAUCCAAAGAACUCUCUGUGUAAUCUGAAACAUUUGGUUCCUUCUUGGGUGUUUCAAGCAAUUUUUCGGAGAGUUUGUGGUUUUCAUCUUUUGGCGUGGAUAAAUAUGGUUUAGGGAUGUUAGAACUUUUUAUAUUUUCUUUGGGCCCUUGUGGUGGGUUUGAACGUUCUUCUGGUUGAGUAUUGUUAAUGGGAGUUGAAAUUUGUUUGUCCUCAUUGAAAUUUUUUGUAUAUAUAAAUGGUUUUGAUGUGUAUGCCAUUGAAUUAAGUUUUUGUUCAAAGGGUUGAGGAUCUUCUUGUCUAAAAUGAGCUUCCAUUUUAGUUGGUUCAGAUGGAGAUUGACCAAAUACUUUUUCUAUAGUUGUUUGUACAUUUUUAGGAGGAUCGGAUUGAAAAGUUGAUAUUGGAGUCGGUUUCAUGGUAUCUAAGGUUUGUACUUGUUGGAAGGGUUGAGACCCUUCCUGUAUCAAAGAAGGUUUUGCCUGAUCUUUUUGAGAAGAAGAUUCAUCAAGUAUUUCUUCUAUCAGUUCUGCUUUGGAUGUGAGUGAGUGACUUAAUUUCAUUGUUGAAGAAAUGAUUUCAUCUGCAGAACUUUUCAAAAUCCUUUGAACUUGUUGUUUCUGCAUGUAUGGUUCAGUUGAUGGUUUGCUGAAUUGAUUAGGUUCGUCAUCUAGUUCGGGUAAAAAGGACGGUUGGCUAGUGUUUGAUUCUUCCUUUUUAUAAAAGUUCUUAAGUUUAGAAGGUUCAGAUUUAAUGUCGGUUGGGUCAAUACCUGCUUCAGUACUGGGGACAAUUAUUGAUUGUGGAGUUGAGACUUCCUUCUUCUCUAGGGGUUCUUCUUCAGGUUUAGGAAUUCCUGAUUGGGUAGCUAUCGGGGAAAUCUGUACUCGUUGGAGGGGCUGGAACCUUUCCUGAUUCAAAGGGGUUUCUGCUUGAUUCUGCUGAGAAGCAGCUUCACCAAGAAUUUCUUGUAUUGGUGUUUUCAUUUGUGUUUUUUUAGAUAGGGGUAGUGUUUCCAAAGUAUUUUUCGGCAUUUUGGAGACAUCUUGUUCAACUGGGAUUGAGUCCUUAUCCAAUUUAGAUGGUUUGAUGGUUUGUUUUUGAAGUGCUGAAGUUUUUUUCUCUAUGAAACUUUGAACAGGUUGUGGAUUUUCUUGUUGGUUACUCAAGAAAGUUGACAAUUCCGAUGGUGAAUUAACCUCUUUUUGAGUAUAUUGAAGAGUGGAAUCAAGAAAGUUUGUGGCUUCUUUUUCUUCCAUUUUUCUAUCUACAGAUUUCACACCUUGUGGUAAAUCACUAAGUGCAUUGGUUGCUUCUGACAUCACUUUGGUUUCUUUUAGGGGUUCUUGUAAUCUUGGGUUUUGAAAAUCCUGGUUUAUUAAUGGUUCUGAAAUCUUAAGUGUCUCUGGAUGAGACAUUUGUGAAAAAUCAUUUAUUAAGGGUUGAUUUGCUCUAUCCUCCUGUAUUGCUAAUGUGGGUGGUUUACCAGUCUUCGAUCCUUCUCCCUUUUCAUCAGUUCCUUUUAUAUCUUUAGAAGAUCCAGAUUUAAUAUUCAUUGGGUAAAUUUCUGGUUGAGUUUUCCGAAUAAGAAUUGAUUGUGGAGUUGAGGUUUCGUUCUUCUCCAUAGAUUCUUCUGCAUUUGUAGGGAAUCCUGGUGAUGUGUCUAUCAGUGAGCUCUGUACUUUUUGGAGGGGUUGGAAUAAUUUCUUGGUCAAAGGAAUUUCUGUUUGAUCCUGUCGAUAAACAGAUUCACCAUGUAUUUCUUCUACAGGUUUUUCUGCUUGCUUAAAAGGUUCUGAUUGGGAUGUGGGUAAAUGACUUGGUUUCAUUGUAGAAGAACUUAUUGUAUAUUCAUCCAACCUCUCCGUAUCCUUUGGAACUUGUUGCAUUUGCUUGUACGAAUCACUUGCUGGUUUGAAGUGUGGUUGAUUAGCUCCAUCAUUUGGUGUGAGUAAAAAAGGUAAUCUAGUCUUUUCUAAUUUUUCUCCAUUUUCAUUGGUUCCAGUUAUAGCUUUUGAAGGCUUAGAAUUAAUAUUCAUCAGGUUUAUCUCAGGUUGAGUAGUGGGAAUGAUAAUUGAAUCUAGAGUGGAUGUUUCCUUCUUCUCUAGGGGUUCUUGUGCAGGUUUUAGAUAUCUGUUAUCUAUCGGUAAACUUUUUUUUUGUUGGAGUUGAAAUCCUUCCUGAAUCAAAGGAGCUUCUGUUUGAUAAGAAGAUUCACCAAGUAUUCCUUCUACCGGUGUUUGUGCUUGCCGAGAUAAUUCUGUUUGGGAUGUGGGUAAGUGACUUGAUUUCAUUGCAGUAGAAAUGAUUUCAUCUACAGAGCUUUUCACAAUCCUUUCAUCUUGUUGUUUCUGCAUGUAUGAUUCAGUUGAUGGUUUGAUGGAUUGAUUAGUUCCGUCAUCUAGCUCAUCAGGUAAAAGAGGUGGUUGUCUAGUGUUUGAUUCUUUCUUUUUAUAAAACUUCUUAAGUUUAAAAGGUUCAGAUAUAACGUCGAUUGGAUAAAUACCUGCUUCAGUACUGGGUAUAAUUAUUGAUUGUGGAGUUGAGGCUUCCUUCUUCUCUAGGGGUUCUUCUACAGGUUUAGGAAAUCCUGAUUGGGUAUCUAUCGGGGAAAUCUUUACUCGUUGGAGGGGUUGGAGCCUUUCCUGAUUCAAAGAGGUUUCUGCUUGAUUGUGCUCAGAAGCAGCUUCACCAAGCAUUUCUUGUAUUGGUGUCUUCAUUUGUGUUUGUUUAGAUGGUUCUUCUUGGGAUGUGGGUAUGGGACUUGGUUUCAUUGUUGAAGAAAAGGUUUCUUCUACAGAACUUUUCACAAUCUCUUGACCUUUAUGUUUCUGCAUGUCUGAAUCAUUUGAUAGUUUGAAUGAUUGAUUAGCUCUGACAUCUUGCGUAGGUAAAAGGGGCGGUUGGUUAUUGUUUAAUUCUUCCCUUUUGUCAAACUUUGUAAGUUUAGAAGGUUCGGAUUUAAUGUCAGAUGUGUCGAUAUCUGCUCCAGUACUGGGAAUAAUUAAUGAUUGUGAAGUUGAGACUCUCUUCUUAUCUAGGGAUUCUUGUGAUGGUUUGAAGGAGUGUAUAGCUUCAUUUUCAGGUGUUGGUAAAAGAGGUAGUUCACUAGUGUUUGGAUCUUCCUUCUUUUCAUCAAGUGGUUUGGGAGAUCGAGGAGAUUUUGCUUGUGUAGGUAGUGGUAGUUUUUCCGAUGUAUUUUUCAGAGGUCGGGGGACGUCUUGUUCAACUGAUAUUGAAUCCUUUGGUAAUUUAGAUGGAUCGAUGAUUUGUUUUGGAGGGGUUGAACUUUUUUUCUCUGUGAAACUUUGAACAAGUUGUGAACUUUCUGGUUGUUUACCCAUGAAAGUUGGUAAUUUCGAUGGUAAAAUAACUUCUUUUUGCGUAGAUUGAAGAUUAGAAUCAAGAAAGUAUGUGGUCUCUUUCUCUUCCAUUUGUCUUUCUGCAGAUUUCACAUCUUUUGGUAAAUCUCUAAGUGUAUUGGUUUCUCCUGGCAUUACUUGGGUUUCUUUUACUGGUUCUUGUGAUUUUGAAUUUUGAAAUUUCUGGUCUAUUGGCGGUUCUGAAAUCUUAAGGGUGUCUGGGUGACUCAUUUGUGAAGAUGUAUUCAUCGAAGGAUCAAGUGGCUUCUGAUGGAUGGUUUUUGCUUUUGAUUCAGAUACAUUAGUAUUUUCCAAUAUAAAAUCAUUUUUCUUUUUUUCAAGGUAGUAUGAGAAUUCAGUAUCUUUUGAAUCUUGAUCUGAAAGAUCAUUUUGUGGCUGAGGUUGUAUGUCUGGGUAAUGCAAUGAUUCCUGAGUUUCUGAUUCAACUGAUUUGGGCACUUUCUUAAAAAGAACUAAUUGAGAGGCUACAGGAAGAGUUUUUCUUUCUCUCUUUUCCUGGGAUCCGUCUGACACUGGUUUAUCUUGUGGAUUCUUAUCAUUCAAGUUCGUUCCAUUUUCCUCAGUAUCCUGUGACAUUGGAGUCUCUGUUUCACUCAGCUUUGGAUCAAACUCGGUCAUUUUAUCUAAAUAUUCUAUGGACUGGGUAUCUUUUGAUUCGUGAUAUUGGAUUCCAAUUUUUGUUUGAGAUGAUCGAAGAUCCUUGGAUUGGGAAUCUGGAUCAAAAGGUCGAAAAAGAUUCUGAGUGAAUUCUUUUUCGCUUUCUUUUUGUCCAUUCUGCAAGGGUUCUAAUUUAUGUGUUUGUGAAUCUAAUGAUUGUUCAAAAGGCUCUAUAUUUUUUAGUUCAGGCUUUUGAAAUUCUAUUCCUUGAGCAUUUCUGAUAAGUUGUGGCUGGUCAUAACCAUGAUCAUCUGAUUCAUUGAUGCUUCCAAUAAAUUGUUCUAUGUUUCCUUGUGAGGGUUGUGGAGAUUCUAUCUUGUGAUAGGGUGUGUCUGAAGAUAGAUAUUUAUGAGGAUCUACAACAGUUGGUUGUUGAGAUGGAGUAAUUUUCUUUUGAAAUACAUGUUGGGGAGAUGUCUUGAUGGAUAUUGGGAAUUCAUUAGUUUCUUGCGUUGGAAACUUUGGUUUAGUUGUCGGAGUUGUUUCUUCAGGAAUAACAGGUGUUAUCUUUUCCCCAUUCUGCAUUGAAGGAUUUGAGAAUGGUUGGGGAUUCAACAAAAUUGGUAAUUUUGUCGAAAUAACUUUCUUAUGAGUCGGAUCAACAAAGUCUGUAGCAUUUUUUUCUUGUCCAAAAACUUGUGCAGUUUUUCUUUCAUGAUUAUAUAGUUCAAAGUGAGUUGUUUCAGCUAAUGUUUCCAAUGAUUUUUGUUCAGGAACAGAUAGCGAUUGGCUAGUAGGUUCAAGGCUAGCUGUUUCUGGAGAUUUCGGCUUAUCAAAAAAAUUAUUUUCCUUUGAUUCUUCUACAAGAUAAGAUUUAUCUUGUGCUGGUAAUUUUAU